CCUACGGGGGGCUGCAGUCGAGAAUCUUCGGCAAUGGGCGCAAGCCUGACCGAGCGACGCCGCGUGUGGGAUGAAGGCCCUUGGGUUGUAAACCACUGUCAGAGGGGAUGAAAUGCGGGUGGGUUCUCCCAUCCGUUUGACAUAGCCUCAGAGGAAGCACGGGCUAAGUUCGUGCCAGCAGCCGCGGUAAUACGAACUGUGCAAACGUUAUUCGGAAUCACUGGGCUUAAAGGGUGCGUAGGCGGCCAGAUAAGUAGGGUGUGAAAGCCCCCGGC
rnacentral:rRNA from 1 species